rnacentral:rRNA from 1 species
GGUACCGUCAAGCAUCGGGGGUGUUAACCCCGAUACAUUUCUCCCCUACUGAAAGGGGUUUACAAUCUAAAGACCUUCAUCCCCCACGCGGCGUCGCUCGGUCAGGGUUGCCCCCCAUUGCCGAAGCCUCUCG